GACGAACGCUGGCGGCGUGCCUAAUACAUGCAAGUUGAGCGAUGAAGCUUGGUGCUUGCCCCAAUUUGAAGAGCAGCGAACGGGUGAGUAACGCGUGGGGAAUCUGCCUUUGAGCGGGGGACAACAUUUGGAAACGAAUGCUAAUACCGCAUAACAACUUUAAACAUAAGUUUUAAGUUUGAAAGAUGCAAUUGCAUCACUCAAAGAUGAUCCCGCGUUGUAUUAGCUAGUUGGUGAGGUAAAGGCUCACCAAGGCGAUGAUACAUAGCCGACCUGAGAGGGUGAUCGGCCACAUUGGGACUGAGACACGGCCCAAACUCCUACGGGAGGCAGCAGUAGGGAAUCUUCGGCAAUGGACGAAAGUCUGACCGAGCAACGCCGCGGGAGGGAAGAAGGGUUUCGGAUCGUAAAACUCUGUUGGUAGAGAAGAACGUUGGUGAGAGUGGAAAGCUCAUCAAGUGACGGUAACUACACAGAAAGGGACGGCUAACUACGUG
rnacentral:rRNA from 1 species